GCCAGCAGCCGCGGUAAUACGUAGGGCGCAAGCGUUAUCCGGGAAUUAUUGGGCGUAAAGAGCUCGUAGGCGGUUUGUCGCGUCUGCUGUGAAAGACCGGGGCUCAACUCCGGUUCUGCAGUGGGUACGGGCAGACUAGAGUGCAGUAGGGGAGACUGGAAUUCCUGGUGUAGCGGUGAAAUGCGCAGAUAUCAGGAGGAACACCGAUGGCGAAGGCAGGUCUCUGGGCUGUAACUGACGCUGAGGAGCGAAAGCAUGGGGAGCGAACAGGAUUAGAUACCCUGGUAGUCCAUGCCGUAAACGUUGGGCACUAGGUGUGGGGGACAUUCCACGUUUUCCGCGCCGUAGCUAACGCAUUAAGUGCCCCGCCUGGGGAGUACGGCCGCAAGGCUAAAACUCAAAGGAAUUGACGGGGGCCCGCACAAGCGGCGGAGCAUGCGGAUUAAUUCGAUGCAACGCGAAGAACCUUACCAAGGCUUGACAUGAACCGGAAAGACCUGGAAACAGGUGCCCCGCUUGCGGUCGGUUUACAGGUGGUGCAUGGUUGUCGUCAGCUCGUGUCGUGAGAUGUUGGGUUAAGUCCCGCAACGAGCGCAACCCUCGUUCUAUGUUGCCAGCGGUUCGGCCGGGGACUCAUAGGAGACUGCCGGGGUCAACUCGGAGGAAGGUGGGGACGACGUCAAAUCAUCAUGCCCCUUAUGUCUUGGGCUUCACGCAUGCUACAAUGGCCGGUACAAAGGGUUGCGAUACUGUGAGGUGGAGCUAAUCCCAAAAAGCCGGUCUCAGUUCGGAUUGGGGUCUGCAACUCGACCCCAUGAAGUCGGAGUCGCUAGUAAUCGCAGAUCAGCAACGCUGCGGUGAAUACGUUCCCGGGCCUUGUACACACCGCCCGUCAAGUCACGAAAGUUGGUAACACCCGAAGCCGGUGGCCUAACCCUUGUGGGGGGAGCCGUCGAAGUGGGACCGGCGAUUGGGACUAAGUCGUAACAAGGUA
rnacentral:rRNA from 1 species